rnacentral:rRNA from 1 species
AGUGAACGCUGGCGGUAGGCCUAACACAUGCAAGUCGAACGGCAGCACAGUAAGAGCUUGCUCUUACGGGUGGCGAGUGGCGGACGGGUGAGGAAUACAUCGGAAUCUACUUUUUCGUGGGGGAUAACGAAGGGAAACUUACGCUAAUACCGCAUACGACCUACGGGUGAAAGCAGGGGAUCUUCGGCCCUUGCGCGAUUGAAUGCGCCGAUGUCGGAUUAGCUAGUUGGCGGGGUAAAGGCCCACCAAGGCGACGAUCCGUAGCUGGUCUGAGAGGAUGGUCAGCCACACUGGAACUGGAACACGGUCCAGACUCCUACGGGAGGCAGCAGUGGGGAAUAUUGGACAAUGGGCGCAAGCCUGAUCCAGCCAUACCGCGUGUGUGAAGAAGGCCUUCGGGUUGUAAAGCCCUUUUGUUGGGAAAGAAAAGCAGCAGGUUAAUACCCCGCUGUUCUGACGGUACCCAAAGAAUAAGCACCGGCUAACUUCGUG